rnacentral:rRNA from 1 species
UACAUGGGGUGCAAACGUUGCUCGGAAUUAUUGGGCGUAAAGAGCUCGUAGGCGGUUUGUUGCGUCGGCUGUGAAAUCCCGAGGCUCAACCUCGGGUCUGCAGUCGAUACGAGCAAACUAGAGUGUUGCAGGGGAGACUGGAAUUCCUGGUGUAGCGGUGAAAUGCGCAGAUAUCAGGAGGAACACCGGUGGCGAAGGCGGGUCUCUGGGCAACAACUGACGCUGAGGAGCGAAAGCGUGGGGAGCGAACAGG